rnacentral:rRNA from 1 species
CAUGCAGUCGCACGAGAAGGAGCAAUCCGAGUACAGUGGCGUAAGGGUGAGUAAUGGUUCGUCAACGUACCGAGCAGACGUGAAUAAUUUCCCGAAAGGGAUUGUAAUGCACGAUGAGACCACGGGGUGUACGCACUCUGGGGUCAAAGGUCGGGGAUCCUUCGGGACCCGGCGCUGUUUGAGCGGACGAACUCUGAUUAGCUAGUUGGCGGGGUAACGGCCCACCAAGGCUUUGAUCAGUAGCCGGGCUGAGAGGCUGUCCGGCCACACGGGCACUGAGAUACUGGCCCGACUCCUACGGGAGGCUGCAGUCGCGAAUUUUUCACAAUGGGCGCAAGCCUGAUGAAGCCACGCCGCGUGCGGGAUGAAGGCCCUCUGGGUUGUAAACCGCUGUCGAGGGAGGGGAACCGCUGGAUGUGAAUAGUAUCCAGUCUGACUGCUCUCUGAAGGAAGCCCCGGCAAAACAUGUGCCAGCAGCCGCGGUAAUACAUGUGGGGCAAGCGUUGUUCGGAAUUACUGGGCAUAAAGGGUGCGUAGGUGGUUUGUUAAGUCAGGGGUGAAAUCCCGCGGCCCAACCGUGGAACUGCCUUUGAUACUGGCGAACUUGAGUGCGUGAGGGGUAUGGGGAACGAGCAGUGUAGCGGUGAAAUGCGUAGAUAUUGCUCGG